CCUACGGGUGGCAGCAGUGAGGAAUAUUGGUCAAUGGCCGAGAGGCUGAACCAGCCAAGUCGCGUGAGGGAUGACGGCCCUACGGGUUGUAAACCUCUUUUGUCGGGGAGCAAAGAGAGUCACGUGUGGCUCAUUGAGAGUACCCGAAGAAAAAGCAUCGGCUAACUCCGUGCCAGCAGCCGCGGUAAUACGGAGGAUGCGAGCGUUAUCCGGAUUUAUUGGGUUUAAAGGGUGCGCAGGCGGAGGUGCAAGUCAGUGGUCAAAUUGCGGGGCUCAACCCCGUACUGCCGUUGAAACUGUGUCCCUUGAGUGCGCGAAGGGUAGGCGGAAUGCGUGGUGUAGCGGUGAAAUGCUUAGAUAUCACGAAGAACCCCGAUUGCGAAGGCAGCUUACUAAACUGUGACUGACAUUGAUGCUCGAAAGUGUGGGUAUCAAACAGGAUUAGAUACCCCUGUAGUC
rnacentral:rRNA from 1 species